GCGUGUCGCUGAGUCAGCACGUAAAGCGAUGAUUUUGACGAAGCCGUAUAAAUAUCGCUAUUUUACUCUCUUUUUCUUACAAUCACUUCUUUAUUGAAGCUGUUAUUUAGAAAAGAUCGAUUUUGAGUAUUGAAAAGAAUGGGGAGUGGAUUUGAGGCCAAGUUGAGCUUUGAGGAUUCAAAAGUUGUUGAAUUUGAUGAUAAACAUGUGUCUUUGAUGGAUCAUGGAUCUCCAAAUCAUGGGUGCUCUCAUUAUAAAAGGGGAUGCAAGAUCAGAGCUCCAUGCUGCAAUGAGAUCUUUGAUUGCAGGCAUUGCCAUAAUGAUGCAAAGAAUGCUAUGGAGAUCGAUCCUCGUGAUCAACAUGAUAUUCCUCGUCAUGAUAUUCAAAAGGUGAUCUGUUCUCUCUGUAACACAGAGCAAGAUGUUCAGCAGAACUGUAUAAAUUGUGGGGUUUGCAUGGGGAAGUACUUCUGUGCACAGUGCAAAUUCUUCGACGAUGAUGUUUCGAAGAAUCAAUACCACUGUGAUGAAUGUGGAAUCUGCCGAACUGGAGGCAAGGAAAACUUUUUUCAUUGCAAGACAUGUGGAUGUUGCUACUCAAAGAUGAUGAAAGAUUCGCACCGUUGUGUUGAAAGAGCAAUGCACCACAAUUGCCCUGUUUGCUUUGAGUUCCUUUUCGACACAUUGAGAGACAUUACCGUCUUACCUUGUGGACAUACCAUACAUCUAGACUGCGUGAAAGAGAUGGAGAAACAUUACAGGUACUCAUGCCCUGUUUGCUCAAAGUCCAUCUGUGACAUGACCAAGUUGUGGAGAAAACUAGACCAAGAGAUUGCAUCAACUCCAAUGCCUGCCAUUUACCAAAACAAAUUGGUGUGGAUUCUCUGCAAUGAUUGCGGGGCAAACUCUCAUGUCCAGUUUCACAUUGUUGCCAACAAAUGCCAGAGCUGCGAGUCCUACAAUACUAGACAAACACGAGGCGGACCAACUAAUUCAUGCUCAUCAGAUAUGGCUGAGAUGAUGAUAUGACAGUGACAAAGAUAUUGCACUUGGUUAGCCAUUCUUUUCAUUCAUUGGCUUGCAGCAAUACAUGUCUCAGCAGAAGUCGUGGGGAGCAACUCAUGUUUGGAGUUGCUACAUUCUGACAUUCAGUCUAGCUUUAGUCUUGAUACCGAGCGGUGCUGUUUUAAACAAAUCCAGUAAUAGCUGCUGUUCCGUUUUUCCAAGUUCUUUCAUUCUUUUGCUCUUGUUCAUCGAGCAAUAGUCGGCUAGCGAUGGGAGACACACCUUCACCAUCCAAGAAACAACUAUGGCAUCUGCAAUUUGUCACCUCUGUGUCUUGGAACCUUAUUUAUCUGUUGAAGUACAUUUUAACAAAAAAAAUGUGGUUUAGAGAAUGAGGUCUCAAUACAGAACAUCAAGGUGGGUUUGUAGCAGAUGAAGGGGUUCAUCUUGUGCUGAGUUUGAAUAGAAGGGCUCACUGAACAUGAUGCUGUGUAGGGGCAACCAACCCUACAAAUUCGAUUGUUUAUCAUGCCUUGUCUUGUGCUCGUGUGCUGCUUGACGCAUGUGUAGCGGCAUGAAAAGCGAGCUGCUGAGGACCCAGAAUGUAUGAAUAUCCUUGCUGCCAAACCUACAUUGUAAUAACCGUUUCUUGCCAAGUCCAAGAAAUAUGCAAGGGAAGGAUCAGAAAAUUUAAAUCCAGGCGGAGCACUUACAGCCUGUUAUCAUUCUUAUUCCGAAAUAUUCCACUUCAAUGGGCCCUUUGCGUGGCCCAUUAUGAACUGCUUUUUAUCCCAGAAAAUAUGGGUUAUUCUCCGUA